CAUAAGGAAAUACGUUUAUGGGACAGUUCAUGUCAGAUUUUGUUGCUGAUUUAAAAUAUGUUAUUUAAUUAUGAGUUCGCCAAGCAGUUUUUGAGAUUUCAGGAUUCCCCCAUUCAAAUAGGACUUGGAUGCCCGAGAUAGCUGCCAUUGCAAAUAUGGCCGCCGAGUGAACAGACUUUAUUGGAAAAGCUUUCCAGCGCUGGAGAGCCUACAGAGCGGGGAGGCCUGAAAACGGACACUGAUGUAACUGUUUCUGCUCCAUAUCUUCCUUGUGUAGGAGAGACAAAUGUUCAGACUGUAUGAAGCUGUGCAGAUUCAGAACCGCUGGAUCCGCCGGCAUCAUGAUUAUCUCAGGAUGAAGCACCUGAGUGUGGAGAACAACAGAGACGGGAGUUAAUGGGAUGAGAUGAACGGACCCGCCGCUGGGACUCGCCUGCCGUACCAUCAGUCAACGCAAUGACACACUAUACUGAGAGAAACACACCGUGUGUAGAUGACUUGAUUGUCGUUUCUGUGAUGCAGAGGCGCUGUUAUGGAUGCAUGUGGCCGUCCUGCACCAGAGAUGGGCCUCAGGGUGUCAUUAUGACCCUCGGUUGAUGAGAAACUCGUCCAUCUGUGGAUGUUUUACACCAGACAGUGUCAGACUCAU